UGGGGAAUAUUGGACAAUGGGCGAAAGCCUGAUCCAGCAAUGCCGCGUGAGUGAUGAAGGCCUUAGGGUUGUAAAGCUCUUUUACCCGGGAUGAUAAUGACAGUACCGGGAGAAUAAGCCCCGGCUAACUCCGUGCCAGCAGCCGCGGUAAUACGGAGGGGGCUAGCGUUGUUCGGAAUUACUGGGCGUAAAGCGCACGUAGGCGGCUUUGUAAGUUAGAGGUGAAAGCCCGGGGCUCAACUCCGGAAUUGCCUUUAAGACUGCAUCGCUAGAACGUCGGAGAGGUAUGUGGAAUUCCGAGUGUAGAGGUGAAAUUCGUAGAUAUUCGGAAGAACACCAGUGGCGAAGGCGACAUACUGGACGACCGUUGACGCUGAGGUGCGAAAGCGUGGGGAGCAAACAGG
rnacentral:rRNA from 1 species